UACAGAGGGGGCAAGCGUUGUUCGGAAUUACUGGGCGUAAAGGGCGCGUAGGCGGCCUGCUAAGUCGAACGUGAAAUCCCUGGGCUCAACCCAGGAACUGCGUCCGAUACUGGUUGGCUUGAAUCCGGGAGAGGGAUGUGGAAUUCCAGGUGUAGCGGUGAAAUGCGUAGAGAUCGGCAGGAACACCCAGGGAGAAAUCAGCCGCCUGGGCAAGUGCUGACGCUGAGGUGCGAAAGCGUGGGGAGCGAACCGG
rnacentral:rRNA from 1 species